rnacentral:tRNA from 1 species
UGUUAUGGUUCAGUCGGUAGAGCAUGGCACUUGCAACGCCAUGGGUUGUGGAUUCAAUUCCACCCAUAAUUA